CCCACCCUGGGGCUGAGCAGCGGAAUGAGCAAUGUUUUCCACUGCGAGCAGGAGACAGGCUAAGCUGCAUGGGGGUGAAUCAUGAGAGCCUGAACGGAGACAGAUUCGGACUAGAAGGGAACUCCACUUAAUAAAGGCUGUGUCCCCCACGUCCCCUCAAGAGCAGUCCUGGAAAGGAGACCUACCCCUUCUCAGAUAGCAGGCUGAAGCUUUCUGACCAUCUGAACCCUUCUGGAUUUCUGAUCAGUGGCAGUGUUGAAAGAGAAAGGCUCUAGGGGACAAUGGACGUGACAGCCAAGCAGAGGCCUGGAAACUGCACGGGAGAGAAAGGCCAGACCCAGCCUCUGAGUGUGUUUUCUUUUCGGGAGAUGCUGCAGGAGUGAGCAGCAAUGACUUGCGAUUCAGCCAAAGUGAUGGGCUGGGUCAGCAAAGACGACCAUGAAACCAGAACCUGGGUGCAAAACAACGCUUUCUCCUGUACAUUUCCGUGUUUGCAUCACGACAUUGACAU